GGCCGGUUCGUCUAUCGGCUAGGACAGCCCCCUUUCACGGGGCAAAGACGGGUUCGAUUCCCGUACCGGCUACCA
rnacentral:tRNA from 4 species